ACAAGCUGGAUGUUCUUUCUCUGUCUGUAUUUGGUGGAAGGAUCUGGCUUUGUUUUCAAGCAAGACUGUGCACACUAAUGAUGAGACCUCAUGAAUGUUGUCCCUCUUUUGCAUACACUCUCUUGCCAUAGAAUCCCUCUUUGAACGCGGCCCAUGAUGCAGCACAGAAGGUGCUAGAUGCAGCCACUCUGCAGCAGAAGAGCCGAUUUCCUCAAAUGCAAAAUACUCCCUUCAACCAAUCACUCACAUCAGGAGGUAAACCCAACCUAUCUACAGUUACCACAGUGUCACCGCAGCAACAAGUUCCACCUCAGCAGCCACCGCAGCAACCACAAGUCCCGCCCCAAGGUCCACCUGCACCCAACCAGCAACCUCCUCAGGCCCCUCAGCCACAGCCCACCAAUCAGCAGACGCAGCCAACAACACAGCCUGGCAUGGCAUCUGUACCUGCACCUCCAGUUGGGGCCCAGCAAGGUGUUGCCAAUAAGAUUGUAGCAUGGAGUGGAGUUCUAGAAUGGCAGGAGGUGAGAAAAUUAUACUAGUGACGUCAUAGCAAUAUUUGGUCUUGUUCAGGGGUGUGUUUCCCAAAAGCAUCGUUAGCCAACUAUGGUCGCAAGUUCCGUCUUUACCAACAUAGUUCAACAAUUCAGUGUUUCCCGAAACCAUAGUUCAAACGAACAUUCGCAAACAGCAUCGCAAACUUACGUGGUUGGAACUACAGCCCUCAACCUGUGGUUAGAAGCAUAGUUUCUUGUUAGUAAGACAUAUGGGCUUAAAUAAAUAUACUCUUGGGCACA
ensembl:lncRNA